rnacentral:rRNA from 1 species
UACGUAGGGUGCAAGCGUUAUCCGGAAUUAUUGGGCGUAAAGAGCUCGUAGGCGGUUUGUCGCGUCUGCUGUGAAAACCGGAGGCUCAACCUCCGGCCUGCAGUGGGUACGGGCAAACUAGAGUGCGGUAGGGGAGAUUGGAAUUCCUGGUGUAGCGGUAGAAUGCGCAGAUAUCAGGAGGAACACCGAUGGCGAAGGCAGAUCUCUGGGCCGUAACUGACGCUGAGGAGCGAAAGCGUGGGGAGCGAACAGG